UACGUAGGGUGCAAGCGUUAAUCGGAAUUACUGGGCGUAAAGCGUGCGCAGGCGGUUAUGUAAGACAGAUGUGAAAUGCCCGGGCUUAACCUGGGAACUGCAUUUGUGACUGCAUGGCUAGAGUUUGGCAGAGGGGGGGUAGAAUUCCACGUGUAGCAGUGAAAUGCGUAGAUAUGUGGAGGAACACCGAUGGCGAAGGCAGCCCCCUGGGUCAAGACUGACGCUCAUGCACGAAAGCGUG
rnacentral:rRNA from 1 species